CCAACACACUCUUAUGUAACCUAUUGACUGACAACGUCUGGAACUUACUGUAUGUCUCUGUGUCUAGAUACUGCAGGUCACAUAUCUCUCUGUGGCAGCAACCUCAUAGCGUAAAGUGUCUCUCCGAAAGUGGCAAGGCUCAAGCUGGUAGAGGCAGCAGGGCGCUCCAGCGGAACUAUACAGUAGGCUGACCCACAGACAGCAGGGCGCUCCAGCGGAACUAUACAGUAGGCUGACCCACAGGCAGCAGGGCGCUCCAGCGGAACUAUACAGUAGGCUGACCCACAGACAGCAGGGCGCUCCAGCGGAACUAUACAGUAGGCUGACCCACAGGCAGCAGGGCGCUCCAGCGGAACUAUACAGUAGGCUGACCCACAGGCAGCAGGGCGCUCCAGCGGAACUAUACAGUAGGCUGACCCACAGACAGCAGGGCGCUCCAGCGGAACUAUACAGUAGGCUGACCCACAGACAGCAGGGCGCUCCAGCGGAACUAUACAGUAGGCUGACCCACAGACAGCAGGGCGCUCCAGCGGAACUAUACAGUAGGCUGACCCACAGACAGCAGGGCGCUCCAGCGGAACUAUACAGUAGGCUGACCCACAGACAGCAGGGCGCUCCAGCGGAACUAUACAGUAGGCUGACCCACAGACAGCAGGGCGCUCCAGCGGAACUAUACAGUAGGCUGACCCACAGACAGCAGGGCGCUCCAGCGGAACUAUACAGUAGGCUGACCCACAGACAGCAGGGCGCUCCAGCGGAACUAUACAGUAGGCUGACCCACAGACAGCAGGGCCCUUUGAUGAGCAGUGAAUGCGUCCAGCCGUGGAGAACCGUGCGUGUCGCUCUGUUGGUCCUGCUCACUCAGACAAAUCAGCAUCUCUCAUCUCACUACUCACACAGCUUGACCCAGAAGGUGGCUGUCAAUUUGGCAUGGAGUUAACAGGGGUUAAUGUUAGGUGAGUCAGAGCAAGGCUGGGUUACAGAACGGGAGUCCAGGGCACGUGCCCCGCGGCCCUCGACCUUCAGAGGAUGGGGCACCCUGGAGGUUGGGGGCCUCCAAAAAGCAUAUGAACACGUUCUAGGCAAUGGCAAAAUGUGUAGAAUUGCAGGAAAUUUCCUUUAAACCACACAAUUUUCUCUCAUCCUCAUGGCAAAAUGUGUAGAAUAGCAUUAUAAAACUGCACAUUUUUAUCUCUGCCCAAUGUCAAAAUGUGUUGAAAUGCAGGAAGCUAGCUGUUUUCCCCCCAAAAAUAUAUUUGGGGGAUUGGGGAGCCCACUGUAAGUAGGUGCCCCGGGGCCCCAAAUGCGUUAGUCUGGCCCUGAGUCAGAGGGAUUGAUGUUGAAUAACUAGCCCUGCUGCUCCGUGGGGAUGGGAUACUACCUCGACCGAGACUCACUGAGCUCACACUGGUUUGAGGCGUUGUGAUGACAUGAAAAGAGGGGCCCUCGGAGAGUUUUCCUGUUAAAGAAACAAGAACACAAAAACAAAAGGGAAAGUCAAUUUCAUGAACGAAUAUGAUUGGCUUGUGUUUGAUGACAUUCAGUUAGAAUUGAAAGCUGAGUAAUAGGAUAUGUAAUUCGUUUAAGACGAGAUAGGCCUCGAGACAGGCCUCGAGACAGGCCUCGAGACAGGCCUCGAGACAGGCCUGCAAAAAGAGAGGAAGACAAGGAAAUAUGGGAAGGUUUUUUCAUAUCACCAUCAUUCUAUCAAAACACACAGCCGACCACCACUGUCUCACCCAGAUUUGUUCUCAGAGAGAAAGGGAAGAAAGCGGAGAAUGUGUAGAGAUAUAAACCAUGUCUGUCCAAUCAGCUCAUGUGGUCUUUGUACUUGGAGUUUUUGACAGAUGGACAUUUUGCUUCAACUACUCAUUGCUAUACAGAAUAAAAAUGUAAUUAUAUUGUACUGUAUAUGAAAACAUUAAACUUAUAUAUGUUGUUGA